ACACUUGAGUCUUUUCUAUUCCUGCUGCCUGGUGCUGGUCUGGGAACAGAUAGUGUUACCCUAGGAGGGGAAGAUAUCUACAUGGGUUGUUUUCCAUUUGUCUUAGGGCCUGUCUCUAAAGCUCUGCCACACAU
ensembl:snoRNA